CUCUAUUGAGCACCUACAUACUUGUCUUGAUGUCACACACACCAAUGACUCGAGACUAGUCAUUCUCCCUGAGAGAAGACAUAGCACGUACCGAUCUUGAUGGACUGUCAAUGCCCAAUUGGCAAUCCUAUGAUCAGGAACAUUUAGGAAGUGUUUACGAAAGAAUGGUCUCAUGAAUCUAACUUCAUUAGAUUACAUUCUCCCAAUCACAUAUUCCUUGGA
rnacentral:lncRNA from 1 species